AAUCAGAGAAACAUUGAACGGAGGAAUAACACUUGCUGGGGUGACCGAGGCUGAUGUUAAGACAAAAGAUGAAAUGGCAUCGUAUCUCUCAAGUGGUUCAUUGUCACGCGCCACUGGGAGUACCAAUAUGAAUAGUCAAUCAAGUCGUUCACAUGCUAUCUUCACAAUCUCAAUGGAACAAAAGAAUGGUGACGACAUCUUAUGCGCCAAGCUCCAUUUGGUUGAUCUAGCUGGUUCUGAACGAGUGAAACGAACUGGUGCCGAUGGCUUGCGUUUAAAA
rnacentral:sRNA from 1 species